rnacentral:lncRNA from 1 species
GGCAGCUUUGUAGUGCGGGUGACUGCUCGGGAUCCUGACCAAGGCACCAAUGGUCAGGUCACUUAUAGCCUAGCCCCUGGCGCCCACACCCACUGGUUCUCCAUUGACCCCACCUCAGGCAUUAUCACUACGGCUGCCUCACUGGACUAUGAGUUGGAACCUCAGCCACAGCUGACUGUGGUGGCCACAGAUGGUGGCCUGCCCCCUCUAGCCUCCUCUGCCACAGUUAACGUGGCCCUGCAAGAUGUGAAUGAUAAUGAGCCCCAAUUCCAGAGGACUUUCUACAAUGCCUCACUGCCUGAGGGCACCCAGCCUGGAACUUGCUUCCUGCAGGUGACAGCCACAGACGCAGAUAGUGGCCCAUUUGGCCUCCUCUCCUAUUCCUUGG